UGGGGAAUCUUGCACAACGGGGGCAACCCUGAUGCAGCGACGCCGCGUGAGCGAUGAAGCCCUUCGGGGCGUAAAGCUCUUUCGACCGGAACGAUAAUGACGGUACCGGGAGAAGAAGCUGCGGCUAACUACGUGCCAGCAGCCGCGGUAAUACGUAGGCAGCAAGCGUUGUUCGGAGUUAUUGGGCGUAAAGAGUGCGUAGGCGGUUUUCUAAGUUCGGUGUGAAAUCUCCCGGCUUAACUGGGAGGGUGCGCCGAAGACUGGGAAGCUGGAGUGUGGGAAAGGCAGGCGGAAUUCCUGGUGUAGCGGUGAAAUGCGUAGAUAUCAGGAGGAACACCGGCGGUGUAGACGGCUUGCUAGACCAUAACUGACGCUGAGGCACGAAAGCGUGGGUAGCAAACA
rnacentral:rRNA from 1 species